rnacentral:rRNA from 1 species
AACAAACGCUGGUGGCAUGCUUAACACAUGCAAGUCGAACGAGAAAACUCCUUUCGGGGAGUGAGUAAAGUGGCAGACGGGUGAGUAACACGUAAGAACCUGCCCUUGGGACCGGGAUAACACCGCGAAAGUGGCGCUAAUACCGGAUAACGUCCACGGACCAAAGGAGGCUUCGGCUUCCACCUGAGGAGGGGCUUGCGUCCCAUUAGCUUGUUGGUAGGGUAACGGCCUACCAAGGCUACGAUGGGUAGCCGGCCUGAGAGGGUGGUCGGCCACACUGGAACUGAGACACGGUCCAGACUCCUACGGGAGGCAG